CAAGAUAUAGGUAUUCAUUGAUGGUCUUUGACCAUCAAGGAAAACCAAAAAAGACUUUGUUUUGAGCUUUUAUUUUUUCUUUCUUUUCCUGUUUUGAAGAUCAACCAUAAGUCCUCCCCAUCGAAGUCCUACCUCUUUCAGUCGUCAGUCAUGUUCUUUUUCAUCACAGUCAAUGUACCAUCUUCUUCUCCACAAUCGGUCGAACGAUUUCAAUAACUACUGUCGCACCACCGUUGUCUUUUCAAUCAGAUGCUACCGUGUUCUUCUUCCAAUGCCUCGCGUUAUAGUAUUAAGGCUAAUUUGGAAUGAAUUAUUUCUUUAAAUCUUUUUUGGUCCGUUAAAUUUAAAUUUAAUAGGACUCCUUACGUGCCAAUUCUAAUUAAGAGAAUUAGAAUUUCAGUUAUGACAUCCCAAAUUUUUACAUUAUUUUCAUAAAAUUAUUUAGAAUUAUUUGGGUGCUAUUUCAUUAAUUUGAGGCUAAAAUCUAAUGUAGGAGGUAAGAUAAUUAAUUUAGGUGAUAUUUGAAGGGAUUUGAAAUUUUUUUACUUCAGUUUAAAAUAGUUGGAUAAUUUAUUUUGGAAAAUUAAUUUGUGAUUUGAAAUAAAAGAUUUGAGAAUUUGGAAAGUCGAUGAGCUCCAUCGUCGUCCGUCACAACCGUCCGGCCGGUAGGUGAUUGCUGUCGGUCUGUCUCUCUUUUCCCACUAUCUCUCGUCAUUUUCGUCUCGCACGUACAGUCGCUGUGCGCGGCGCCUUGUAAUCGCACGUCCGGCGCCCAGCCUAUCACUGGUCGUUGUAGCUUCGUUCGCCGCCAUGGGUUAUCGCCGCCAGCAGUAGAUGUCACCGGAAUUUUAAAAUUUGGAUUGGAGGUUUGGAGGAAUUUUGAGGUUUAAAGUAAGCUGCCCAGCGACCUGGAAGGUUAUUAUUGGUGGUUUAAGGUAUUUCGGGGUUUAUAUUCAAUAAAGAAGUAGAGAAAUAAUCAAGUAUAUUGUGGAUAUUAUGUAAUUAUAGAAUUGUAUUUUGUAGGUAUAUUUUGGAGUUUACGUUUUGCAGAUAUAAUGUUAUUGUAAUUAACUUUGUGAAACUAAAUUGUACGUUAUGUAAGAAAAUUAAUUAAAAGUAAAAGUUGUUGA